CAGCAGCCGCGGUAAUACGUAGGGGGCAAGCGUUAUCCGGAUUUACUGGGGGUAAAGGGAGCGUAGACGGAAUGGCAAGUCUGAAGUGAAAUGCCCGGGCUCAACCCGGGAACUGCUUUGGAAACUGUCGAUCUGGAGUGUUGGAGAGGUAAGUGGAAUUCCUGGUGUAGCGGUGAAAUGCGUAGAGAUCAGGAAGAACACCGGAGGCGAAGGCGGCUUACUGGACAAAGACUGACGUUGAGGCUCGAAAGCGUGGGAAGCAAACAGGAUUAGAUACCCGGGUAGUCCCUGUCUCUUAUAC
rnacentral:rRNA from 1 species